CUGCUUGAGGAGUUAGCUGUGUUUCAAGGAAUUGAUGUUGUCUGAACUCCACAGCUUACUGACUAGCCAGGCUCCCUCUAGCAGGAAACAAAUAUUUGGACACCUUUUGGGAUAGCGAGUUGUUAGGAGUCUUUUUUAACCCUGGACAAGGGACAACACUACAGCCGAAAACUAGUAGUGUAUAUAAUUGUAAUAGACAUCAGAAAUUGUUGAAGGAUGAACACUCCAGAAGCAGUUGUGCUUCUGCAAUCAAGACAGCAGACAGAAUGGAGACAGGAAAUGAUGAUGUGUGAGCUGAAGUGAACAACCCAGGGAACUGUGCUACUGGAAGAUCUGUGAGGAGCCAUGACCUUUCAAUCACUGCCAUUGGCAUCAGGCCCUC
rnacentral:lncRNA from 1 species